rnacentral:rRNA from 1 species
AUGUGGAGCAUAACAGUGUUAGUUUCGAUAGUUUGUCAAUUCGCCGGUGGGAUCCGCAGGUCAGACCGUCAUUCUCCGGCCGCCGCGCUGCCUGGAUCCAACGAGGCUGCUUCGCACCGGUCUCGGAUCCACCUGCCUCCACGCCAUCACCUGCCUGCGCCAGCCCCGGCCCCGGAUCCCCCUCCAACCCAAUUCGUGCCAUGGACAAGGAAAAAACUUUUGUCAGGUUUUUGGUGGCUAGGUAUUAUUGAUAUGGAGAUGAAUAACUAUGUGCUUCGGUUGUUCUUUUGGAAAAGACAAGUUGCCAUGCUUUACUUUUAUGAGCUUUCUAAUUUGCAUACGUCUAAGUUAUUGCUUGCUGCCACUAGUGAAUUGCGCAAGUUCAAUGGGUGUUGUCGAGCAUGUUCAGAAGUAUGCCCUUCGUGCAGAAGUGUGAUUUUUUCAGUAUUUUGUAUAUUUCAUUUGGCAGAGGCUUCAUGUCAUCUUGUGGAGCUUUAUAAAUGUAUUGUAAUUACACUUUUAAGACCCUAA